UACGAAGGGGGCUAGCGUUGCUCGGAAUUACUGGGCGUAAAGGGCGCGUAGGCGGACAGUUAAGUUGGGGGUGAAAGCCCGGGGCUCAACCUCGGAAUUGCCUUCAAUACUGGCUGUCUUGAGUACGGGAGAGGUGUGUGGAACUCCGAGUGUAGAGGUGAAAUUCGUAGAUAUUAGGAAGAACACCGGUGGCGAAGGCGGCCCACUGGUCCGGUACUGACGCUGAGGUGCGAAAGCGUGGGGAGCAAACAGG
rnacentral:rRNA from 1 species